rnacentral:tRNA from 1 species
GCGGCAGUAGUUCAAUUGGUAGAGCCCUAGCCUUCCAAGCUAGUUGUUGCGGGUUCGAGUCCCGUCUGCCGCUCCA